GGGCGCAAGCCUGACCGAGCAACGCCGCGUGAGGGAUGGAGGCCUUCGGGUUGUAAACCUCUUUUAUCGGGGAGCAUGCGUGAGUGAGUUUACCCGUUGAAUAAGCACCGGCUAACUACGUGCCAGCAGCCGCGGUAAUACGUAGGUCCCGAGCGUUGUCCGGAUUUAUUGGGCGUAAAGCGAGCGCAGGCGGUUUGAUAAGUCUGAAGUUAAAGGCUGUGGCUCAACCAUAGUUCGCUUUGGAAACUGUCAAACUUGAGUGCAGAAGGGGAGAGUGGAAUUCCAUGUGUAGCGGUGAAAUGCGUAGAUAUAUGGAGGAACACC
rnacentral:rRNA from 1 species